UGAGACUCCACCUCAAAAAAAAGAAAAAAGGAAAACCAAGCAAAAGUCACUGUCAGGGGACCUCCCACCCACCAUACAGGGGAACACUCGGCAGAGCCAGAGGCCUGGGCCCAAGUCCUGCCACCAGCUGGCUGUGAAACUGUGGUACAGCACCUUGUGUCCUGCCACCAGCCGGCUGUGAAACUGGUACAGCACCUUGUCCUCAGGUCCUUGGUUUCCUCACUUGUAAAUUCAUGGUUCUCCAUGGCAUCUCUGGUCUUCAACAUUAUUUUGCAUAGAGUCUCAGAAGCUUUAGUGUGAGCGGAUGAUAUGGGCACGAAGCAAGGCACCCAGAAGUGGGGGCAACUACUCUGCUUUCUAAAAUGCAAGGGAACCGGAAAAUCCAGGAGCCGUGCCAAAUGAGAAGAGGAACAAAUGGAGGAACAUCCCAGUCAAGUGACAUUCCUAGUGACAUUCACCAGAACAGAGUCAAGCUUUGGAUCCCAUGUUCUGUGACUUCCUCUUCACCACGCUUCCUCCACACACGUAGCAGCUCAAGGGUUUCUGAUGAGUGGGGAAAUGACUUACUGCAAAGAACCACUCUUCCCCACGAGACUUCGAGAAGACCCGCUGUCACGGACUGAGUUGUGUCCUCUUAAAAUUCAGAUGUUGGAGUCCAAACCCCCAGUAACUCAGAGUGUGAACGUAUUUGAAGAGGUCUUUAAAGAGGUGAUGAAGGUCUUUGUCUCUGACAAUUUGCCUCUGUGACGUGGAUGGGACUGGAAGUCCAUUUGGAGCCCUGUCUUCUCCACCUAGGGAGAGAGACCCCAUGAGCUCGUCAAGCUCCUUCUGUGACUGAUCAGAGAUCCCACCGUGAGUCCAGCUCCUGGUCCCAUGCUCUGGAUAUAUCGGUCCCUGGCAGCGUGGCUCCAUCUCCGUAGCCUGCUUUUGACAAAAGUGGAUACAUAAAUCUAGGGGCCACCUAGCUAGUUCUAAUAAGACUUUGGAAGUCAAAAGCUAAAGAAGACCAGGGGACCAAGCUGGAAAUCAGGCUCUGCAAUCAGAUUCCAGAGGGAAUGCCAUUCCACCCAAUCACCUAGCCACAACGGUUCCCUUCCUUCAAGAUGCUGCAUGCCUCUUCAGGCGAAUGGAUUACCUUGUAAGAGUGACCUGAAAAAGCGUUAGCCCAGCCACACCGAGGCUUAACUGAGCCAUUUGAUUCUCACUGCCUCUCUCUGUUGCUUCCUCUUGCUUUCAACUACAGGGUCUUUCUGUUUAGGUGGUGAAAAAAAUGAUCGUUAAAAACAAUAAACCUGGGGACCUCUGAUACCAUGAGCCCAGCCAGAGAUCUGUGUCAAGCAAAUCCUUGCAGACAGUUCUGCCAGCCUGCAGAUGGCUGUUUGCCUCUCGUGGAUUUGAUAAGUGCUCAUUUAUGCCCAGAGGCCUCUGGGAGAUAGUGCUCAUGCUGAGCUUACAAACUGAAAACCAUUAUCUGUUCCUUACCUGAGACCCUGGGGAGCAGUCAGCUCACUCCCUGCCGAUGGCCUAAGAUAGGUACUGAUGUUACAGUUGAGGAAUAUCUAGGAGUAACAAACUUAAGUAGCUGGAAUAUGCCAAUUUUGACAAUUUGACAACAUCAUUAUAAACAUUCUGAAGUACUUACAAGUCUUUUUUUUUUUUUUUUUUUUUUUUGGGAGACAGAGUCUUACUUACUCUGUCACAGACUAAAGUGCAGUGGCGUGAUCUCGGCUCACUACAACCUUUGCCUUCUAGAUUCAAGCGAUUUUCCUGCCUCAGCCUCCCGAGUAGCUGAGAUUACAGUCACACACUAAGGUGCCCGGCUAAUUUUUGUAUUUUCAGUGGAGAAGGGGUUUCACCACGUUGGUCAGGCUGGUCUGGAACUCCUGACCUCAGGUGAUCUGCCUGCCUCAGCCUCCCAAAGUGUUGGGAUUACAGGCAUGAGCCACCGUGCCUGGCCAUGCAAUACUUAGAGUCACAGAAGUUUAUGGUUAGAUAAUUCUCACAGAGGUGACCUGGUUCAGCUCUACCAUCAAGGUCAUUGAGACACUGGCACCUUGCCCAAGGUCAUGCCAACCUGGGAUUAGGCGUUUCCUGCCCGAUGCCCUUUCCCCACUUUCCACACCUAUUGUUCAUACUAAUUUAUUGCAGGUCUUAUUUCUACAGCCUCCUUUAAUUGCUUUAUGUUCACGGGACACUGUCUUCAGGAUAAGAUUGCAAGUAUUUUUUUAUAUUACUUCCUCUUGUCCCUGAUACUGUAGGGUUUCAAGCUGAAACCAGUCAAAAAGGACUUCAUGCUGAGUAACUUUUGCCCAGGCAGCAGGGCUGAGGAGCUGGGGACGAAGGAGAGACCCUGGCUGUAUUCUUUCUGAUAGGUGUUACACAUCAGGCUUGAGUUAAUUUGGUCAGGUUCAAUAAUGUGCUGCAGUUACUCUGUAAACACUUAGAAUCGUGGAGUGUCAGGUCUGGAAGGAGAUUUAAAGACAACCUGGUCUUAUGGUUCUCUAACUGUGCUCCAAGGAACCCUAGGGGCUCCUGUGUGUGGGGGUCGGGGUGUGCCUUCUGGUCAGCCUCUAAGAGCAGGUGGGCUGGAGAGCUGAGCUGACUUAGGCCUAAGCACUGGCCCCUUUUCUUGAAAUAUUUUAUUUAAUGGGGCUGUAUCAGAUUUCUUACAAACAAAGGGCUUGGAUGAUAGACCAUGGUCGACAGCUAUGAAUCUAGUCCAGCUCUUUCAUUUUCACUGUGAGCAAAUGAGGCUUGGAAUGAGGGAAGAGGGACUAGACCACUGCGUGCAGAGCUGCACACAUAGCUAGUGACAGGAGCCAGGAUGGAAACUCUUUGCAGAUGCCCCCUCGAUACCUUGCAGAGAUGGCCUGGUCCCUCUAAGAAGCUAUGUUUUUGGCUUGAUGGAGAGAUUGAACUACAGAAACCAACUCUCUAUGGUGGCUGCUCAUCUGGGAAAAGAAAGGGACAAAAUCUACACUUACUGAGUGACUACUGUGUCACAGGCAUGGAAAAUACAUUCACUCAUUCAGAGCAGGUGUGUGGAGCACCUCCUGCAUAGCAGAUGCUGCCCUGCCUGUCAUGGGUACUCUUUAAGCCUCACAAGCCUGCAGGGGAAGCUAUCACGUGCUCCAGAGCUGAAGGCUCUCAGGGUUAUGCAGCUGGCUCAUCAGUGGCAGACCCACAUCUGAACUGACACCCUUUGAACUCCAAAUCUGCUGUGCCACAUCACAUCCUAAUAUGCUU
rnacentral:lncRNA from 1 species